GUACUGGUUGGUUCUUCAAAUCUAGCCCAUCUCCAUGCAGAGUCUCUUUUCUUUUUGAUUUUAUACAUCCCAUAUUUCCUUCCUGAGUCUGACACUUUGG